rnacentral:rRNA from 1 species
UACGGAGGGUGCAAGCGUUGUUCGGAUUUAUUGGGCGUAAAGCGCGUGUAGGCGGUUUCUUAAGUCUGAUGUGAAAGCCCCGGGCUCAACCCGGGAAGUGCAUUGGAUACUGGGAGACUUGAAUACGGGAGAGGGUAGUGGAAUUCCUAGUGUAGGAGUGAAAUCCGUAGAUAUUAGGAGGAACACCGGUGGCGAAGGCGGCUACCUGGACCGAUAUUGACGCUGAGACGCGAAAGCGUGGGGAGCAAAUAGG